rnacentral:rRNA from 1 species
UAGCGUUGUUCGGAAUCACUGGGCGUAAAGCGCACGUAGGCGGACUGUUAAGUCAGGGGUGAAAUCCUGGGGCUCAACCCCAGAACUGCCUUUGAUACUGGCGGUCUUGAGUGUGGGAGAGGUUGGUGGAACUCCGAGUGUAGAGGUGAAAUUCGUAGAUAUUCGGAAGAACACCAGUGGCGAAGGCGGCCAACUGGCCCAUUACUGACGCUGAGGUGCGAAAGCGUGGGGAGCAAACAGG